rnacentral:rRNA from 1 species
UUAAUAAUUCCAGUUAUUUUAAUUUGUGAAGAAACAAUUAUAUAAAUUAAGGACAAGAAGACCCUAAGAAUUUAAGAAUUCUUAUGUUACUUAAAUAUAAAAUAGGAAUUCUUAGUUGGGGCAACUAAAAAACA